GACGAACGCUGGCGGCGUGCCUAAUACAUGCAAGUUGAGCGCUGAAGGUUGGUCCUUGUACCAACUGGAUGAGCAGCGAACGGGUGAGUAACGCGUGGGGAAUCUGCCUUUGAGCGGGGGACAACAUUUGGAAACGAAUGCUAAUACCGCAUAAAAACUUUAAACACAAGUUUUAAGUUUGAAAGAUGCAAUUGCAUCACUCAAAGAUGAUCCCGCGUUGUAUUAGCUAGUUGGUGAGGUAAAGGCUCACCAAGGCGAUGAUACAUAGCCGACCUGAGAGGGUGAUCGGCCACAUUGGAACUGAGACACGGCCCAAACUCCUACGGGAGGCAGCAGUAGGGAAUCUUCGGCAAUGGACGAAAGUCUGACCGAGCAACGCCGCGUGAGUGAAGAAGGUUUUCGGAUCGUAAAACUCUGUUGGUGGAGAAGAACGUUGGUGAGAGUGGAAAGCUCAUCAAGUGACGGUAACUAACCAGAAAGGGACGGCUAACUACGU
rnacentral:rRNA from 1 species